rnacentral:lncRNA from 1 species
UAGCCUCAUCCCCACCACCCGCACCCCAUCUUCCGUAUUAUAUAUUUAUCUAAAUUAUAUACAAAUAUUUUUAAAAUAAUACUUUUUCCUUACUUGCCCGACACAAAACCCCUCAAUCUUUACAUUUGAGGUUAUAGAGCAAUGGGUUAAGUAACAAGUUUUACUGAUCAAAUGUAAUUCAUCUGAUGCAAAGGGGUAUAAAAGUAAACAUAGAAUAUCAUUCCACCAACCAGUACAAC